rnacentral:lncRNA from 1 species
UUUUUUUUUUUUUUUUUUUUUGCCCCAUCCUGGAGGUAAGGCCUGAAGCACACACUCCCAUUGAGGGGAGAAAAGGGCUGAGACUACUCUGUAAUGGGAACAGCACACAGUCUCGCUGUUGGCUUCUGCGCUGUCCUUGCUGUGCACGUUACCAGAUGUGCUGUCCCCGUUAGCCUCUUGCCUUGGGUUGCCUGUGUGUUUUCAGGUUGUCCAGUGGGUGGCCUGUCUGUCUUUUUUCCACCUUGAGACCUUCUGUGUGACAUUCUCACCAACAUCAGGCCCACCCAGUGGGACACAAAGGGGUGCCUUUGGGCUGCACAGCCCCUUUAUGUGCCCUCCUCCUGGCUGUCCUCAGGGACCCACCUGGCUAUACAAGCAGACAUACUACUGCCACUAACUGCGCCCACUUUGAGCCCAUGGACCACUCUCUGCUGUUCACAAGUAGCCGUGUCAGUCUUGAACCCCAAGUCAGGCCUCAGAGUCACCUUGGUUUGCAUAGGUGCAGUUUAGCAGAACAGCAUAUAUGGCAUUGGCUAGACCCUGGUACAAGGGAGCACAGGCCCCAAGGCUUGAACUCCAGAGCAGGGGGCUGGUCCACACCCUGGGCAGGUCUGUGUGUCAAGCCAUGCUGGAACUCUGCAAACUGAAAGGGCCUAGAAAAACACUUGUGCUUAACCUGGGGAGUUUUUACAGUCUCUGAGGGAUGGGGUCUCCAGCAGCCUCCCAGAGUCUUGGCCAGAUCUGUAGAAAACGGGAAUAAACCGACUGUCCCCCCUCAGUGGUUUUUACUAGUCCUGUGGGCAGCCUGGAUGUGCUAGCUACACCUUCCCCACAUGUUGUUAGGCCUGGUUUGUGAGAUAGAAGAUGGAGUACCUGACCACCUUUGGCCUCUAUCAGGGGUGGGAAUAUGACUCUCACUGGUGACAAGGGCCUAGGUGGCAAAUGAAGUGGUUUGAGCAGUAACUCUGGGUGCAGGACAUUGAGCAUAUCCUGCUACCACAUGCUUCACCCCCCAUUGUCACCCCACAUCCUGGGCAUGGGAGUGGCCCCUUUAACCCUACCCUGCCAAGAAAACCAAACAGGGAAAACAAAGAUGUAGGACUAUUGACCUAGCUCUUUAACUUGUAGCCAGCUGUCGUCGUUGGUCUGGCAAGAGGGCUCAUGGAGGAAGUCUGUCUGCCUCCCAGGAUAGCAGAUGAGGUGCCUUCCCAGUGGACCCUGCUGCUGCUCGCUUGCUGCAGAGAAUUGUUUGCACUAAACCCCACUCUUCCCCCAAAGCAACAUUGUUCUUUGUUAAUUAGCUCAUGUAUCUCAGAGUGGCCUGAAGCCCCAUUUUGCUGGGUGAUGGUGGGUGUGUCAGGGCUGGUGGUGGGAGGGAAUGAUGGGACCUUGUCACUCAGUGCACACCCAGCUGCCUAGUGUCCUGAGUGCCUGUUAAAUUCUUUAUGAGAGGAAUCACCUGCAUUAAACCUAUUUUUUUAAUGUGC